UACGGAGGGUGCAAGCGUUAAUCGGAAUUACUGGGCGUAAAGAGCGCGCAGGCGGUCGUUCAAGUCGCGUGUGAAAGCCCCCCGGCUCAACUGGGGAGGGUCACGCGAUACUGAUCGACUCGAAGGCAGGAGAGGGUAGUGGAAUUCCCGGUGUAGUGGUGAAAUGCGUAGAUAUCGGGAGGAACACCAGUGGCGAAGGCGACGUCCUGGACCGGCAUUGACGCUGAGGCGCGAAAGCCAGGGGAGCAAAGCGGG
rnacentral:rRNA from 1 species